GGUGAACUGUGGAUCAGUGAUAGAGUGCUUGCUUUGCAUGCAGAACACCCCAGGUUCAAUCCCUGACAUCUCCA